AUUGAACGCUGGCGGCAGGCCUAACGCAUGCAAGUCGGACGGUAGCACAGAGAGCUUGCUCUCGGGUGACGAGUGGCGGACGGGUGAGUAAUGUCUGGGGAUCUGCCCGAUAGAGGGGGAUAACCACUGGAAACGGUGGCUAAUACCGCAUAACGUCGCAAGACCAAAGAGGGGGACCUUCGGGCCUCUCACUAUCGGAUGAACCCAGAUGGGAUUAGCUAGUAGGCGGGGUAACGGCCCACCUAGGCGACGAUCCCUAGCUGGUCUGAGAGGAUGACCAGCCACACUGGAAAUGAGACACGGUCCAGACUCCUACGGGAGGCAGCAGUGGGAAAUCUUGCACAAUGGGCGCAAGCCUGAUGCAGCCAUGCCGCGUGUAUGAAGAAGGCCUUCGGGUUGUAAAGUACUUUCAGCGGGGAGGAAGGCGAUGAGGUUAAUAACCUUGUCGAUUGACGUUACCCGCAGAAGAAGCACCGGCUAACUCCGUGCCAGCAGCCGCCGUAA
rnacentral:rRNA from 1 species